CUUGUGCGUAAACUGGUCAGCCUGCCCGAUCGCCAAGUUAGCAAAGCUGAUGAGCAAAUAUUCUUUUCUCAGCUGAAGCUGACAAACAAACAGCACGUCUAGUAUGCACUUCAUCACCAUCACGAGCAGAGCUCCAGCCUGCCUCUCUGGUUCCCACUGAUCCAUCAUGCUGUCUGAAUGCCCAGAGAAAACCUAUUACUCUGAACCAGCACAACACAUUAGCAGUGAGCUGCAGGUGUCUCUCCUCUUCUGUGCUGUGCUCAUUCCUCACCAUCCAUGGAUGCAACGUUAUGUUUACAGCACCCUAGCAGUCAAACUGCACAACAGUGAAGUCGAGGUCUGUAUGCAGUUAUGCCCCUGCAGACUGCUUCGGUCCCUGAGGCAAAAAGCUCAGCGUUGUCCUCUGGUGGUAAUUAGAAGAAGUACAGUUUGGCCAA